rnacentral:rRNA from 1 species
AUACGUAGGUGGCAAGCGUUGUCCGGAAUUAUUGGGCGUAAAGCGCGCGCAGGUGGUUCCUUAAGUCUGAUGUGAAAGCCCCCGGCUCAACCGGGGAGGGUCAUUGGAAACUGGGGAACUUGAGUGCAGAAGAGGAUAGUGGAAUUCCAAGUGUAGCGGUGAAAUGCGUAGAGAUUUGGAGGAACACCAGUGGCGAAGGCGACUGUCUGGUCUGUAACUGACACUGAGGCGCGAAAGCGUGGGGAGCAAACAGGAUUAGAUACCCUGGUAGUCCACGCCGUAAACGAUGAGUGCUAAGUGUUGGGGGGUUUCCGCCCCUCAGUGCUGCAGCUAACGCGUUAAGCACUCCGCCUGGGGAGUACGGUCGCAAGACUGAAACUCAAAGGAAUUGACGGGG